UCACCACAGAGGUCUGCCCACAGACAGAUACAUGUGGAGUGAUGCUUCUGGCCUGCAGGAAUGUACAAAAAUCAACACCAAACCUCCUUCUCCACAGUGGUCUUGGGUAUCCGAUUGGUAUAUUGAUUUUAAUACUUCAGGCGGAACCGAUCGGGAAGGCUGGCAGUACGCCGCAGACUUUCCAGCGUCCUACCAUGGUCACAAGACAAUGAAAGACUUUGUCAGACGGAGGCGCUG